rnacentral:miRNA from 1 species
GGAAGGAAUAUGACUAAAGUU